rnacentral:rRNA from 1 species
CUGGGCUUGACAUGCUCGUUAAAGCGCGUGAAAGCGCGUGUCCGUAAGGGGCUAGCACAGGUGCUGCAUGGCUGUCGUCAGCUCGUGCCGUGAGAUGUUGGGUUAAGUCCCGCAACGAGCGCAACCCUUAUCGAUAGUUGCUAGCGGUUCGGCCGAGCACUCUAUUGAGACUGCCGUUGACAAAACGGAGGAAGGUGGGGAUGACGUCAAGUCCUCAUGGCCUUUAUGUCCAGGGCUACACACGUGCUACAAUGGCAAGUACAAAGCGCUGCAAACUCGCGAGAGGGAGCCAAUCGCAAAAAGCUUGUCUCAGUUCGGAUUGGAGUCUGCAACUCGACUUCAUGAAGCUGGAAUCGCUAGUAAUCGCAGAUCAGCACGCUGCGGUGAAUACGUUCCC